GAUGAACGCUGGCGGCGUGCCUAAUACAUGCAAGUCGAGCGAACAGAUGAGGAGCUUGCUCCUCUGACGUUAGCGGCAGACGGGUGAGUAACACGUGGAUAACCUACCUAUAAGACUGGGAUAACUUCGGGAAACCGGAGCUAAUACCGGAUAAUAUAUUGAACCGCAUGGUUCAAUAGUGAAAGACGGUUUUGCUGUCACUUAUAGAUGGAUCCGCGCCGCAUUAGCUAGUUGGUAAGGUAACGGCUUACCAAGGCAACGAUGCGUAGCCGACCUGAGAGGGUGAUCGGCCACACUGGAACUGAGACACGGUCCAGACUCCUACGGGAGGCAGCAGUAGGGAAUCUUCCGCAAUGGGCGAAAGCCUGACGGAGCAAUGCCGCGUGAGUGAUGAAGGUCUUCGGAUCGUAAAACUCUGUUAUUAGGGAAGAACAAAUGUGUAAGUAACUAUGCACGUCUUGACGGUACCUAAUCAGAAAGCCACGGCUAACUACGUG
rnacentral:rRNA from 1 species